AACGAACGCUGGCGGCAGGCCUAACACAUGCAAGUCGAACGCCCUAGCAAUAGGGAGUGGCAGACGGGUGAGUAACGCGUGGGAACGUGCCUUUCGGUUCGGAAUAACUCAGGGAAACUUGAGCUAAUACCGGAUACGCACUUCGGUGGAAAGAUUUAUUGCCGAAAGAUCGGCCCGCGUCCGAUUAGCUAGUUGGUGAGGUAAAGGCUCGCCAAGGCGACGAUCGGUAGCUGGUCUGAGAGGAUGAUCAGCCACACUGGGACUGAGACACGGCCCAGACUCCUACGGGAGGCAGCAGUGGGGAAUAUUGGACAAUGGGCGCAAGCCUGAUCCAGCCAUGCCGCGUGAGUGGUGAAGGCCCUAGGGUUGUAAAGCUCUUUCGCCAGGGACGAUAAUGACGGUACCUGGAUAAGAAGCCCCGGCUAACUUCGUGCCAGCAGCCGCGGUAA
rnacentral:rRNA from 1 species